GCUUCAGCUCGUCUUCUGUCAGUAGGUAGUCAGGAAGUUCUCGGGACAGUCUUUUCCUAGUAGUCUCAGUGCCUACCUGACGUGGGCAAUACAGACCAGUCACAUCUUCCCUCCUUGAGCCUGCUCCCCAGUCUGCCAGAGGCCUUGGCACAGCCAGGCUCCUCCUCCUCCUCACCUCUAAGAAGCUCGAGAGACAGGGAAGCCAUGUUGGCCAGCUCCUCAACCUGCCUCUUCUCUGGGGUCUGCGUCGCUCUACUGGCUGUGGCCCUGGCCUAUUACUUCUACUGGACGGCUGUUCUCAGUGAAGGACCGUGCGGCCGC
rnacentral:lncRNA from 1 species